rnacentral:rRNA from 1 species
UACGGAAGGGGCAAGCGUUGGUUCGGAAUCAUUGGGCGUAAAGGGCGCGCAGGUGGUCCUGUAUGUCUGCCGUGAAAGCAUACAGCUCAACUUGUAUUGUGUCGGUAGAAACUGCAGGACUUGAGGCUGGGAGGGGCUGGUGGAAUUCCCUGUGUAGCGGUGAAAUGCGUAGAGAUGGGGAGAACACUCGUGGCGAAGGCGGCCAGCUAGACCAGUUCUGACACUGAGGCGCGACAGCGUGGGGAGCAAACAGG